GUGACUGUUCCUGGUACUGAUUGCAUUUGUUAGUUGUACAAUGCAACCAUAGGCGGUCACACACAUCAAAACAUA